rnacentral:rRNA from 1 species
CUAAUACAUGCAAGUCGAACGCGUUGGCCCAAUUGAUUGAUGGUGCUUGCACCUGAUUGAUUUUGGUCGCCAACGAGUGGCGGACGGGUGAGUAACACGUAGGUAACCUGCCCAGAAGCGGGGGACAACAUUUGGAAACAGAUGCUAAUACCGCAUAACAGCGUUGUUCGCAUGAACAACGCUUAAAAGAUGGCUUCUCGCUAUCACUUCUGGAUGGACCUGCGGUGCAUUAGCUUGUUGGUGGGGUAAUGGCCUACCAAGGCGAUGAUGCAUAGCCGAGUUGAGAGACUGAUCGGCCACAAUGGGACUGAGACACGGCCCAUACUCCUACGGGAGGCAGCAGUAGGGAAUCUUCCACAAUGGGCGCAAGCCUGAUGGAGCAACACCGCGUGAGUGAAGAAGGGUUUCGGCUCGUAAAGCUCUGUUGUUAAAGAAGAACACGUAUGAGAGUAACUGUUCAUACGUUGACGGUAUUUAACCAGAAAGUCACGGCUAACUACGUGCCAGCAGCCGCGGUAAUACGUAGGUGGCAAGCGUUAUCCGGAUUUAUUGGGCGUAAAGAGAGUGCAGGCGGUUUUCUAAGUCUGAUGUGAAAGCCUUCGGCUUAACCGGAGAAGUGCAUCGGAAACUGGAUAACUUGAGUGCAGAAGAGGGUAGUGGAACUCCAUGUGUAGCGGUGGAAUGCGUAGAUAUAUGGAAGAACACCAGUGGCGAAGGCGGCUACCUGGUCUGCAACUGACGCUGAGACUCGAAAGCAUGGGUAGCGAACAGGAUUAGAUACCCUGGUAGUCCAUGCCGUAAACGAUGAGUGCUAGGUGUUGGAGGGUUUCCGCCCUUCAGUGCCGGAGCUAACGCAUUAAGCACUCCGCCUGGGGAGUACGACCGCAAGGUUGAAACUCAAAGGAAUUGACGGGGGCCCGCACAAGCGGUGGAGCAUGUGGUUUAAUUCGAAGCUACGCGAAGAACCUUACCAGGUCUUGACAUCUUGCGCCAACCCUAGAGAUAGGGCGUUUCCUUCGGGAACGCAAUGACAGGUGGUGCAUGGUCGUCGUCAGCUCGUGUCGUGAGAUGUUGGGUUAAGUCCCGCAACGAGCGCAACCCUUGUUACUAGUUGCCAGCAUUAAGUUGGGCACUCUAGUGAGACUGCCGGUGACAAACCGGAGGAAGGUGGGGACGACGUCAGAUCAUCAUGCCCCUUAUGACCUGGGCUACACACGUGCUACAAUGGACGGUACAACGAGUCGCGAACUCGCGAGGGCAAGCAAAUCUCUUAAAACCGUUCUCAGUUCGGACUGCAGGCUGCAACUCGCCUGCACGAAGUCGGAAUCGCUAGUAAUCGCGGAUCAGCAUGCCGCGGUGAAUACGUUCCCGGGCCUUGUACACACCGCCCGUCACACCAUGAGAGUUUGUAACACCCAAAGUCGGUGGGGUAACCUUUUAGGAGCCAGCCGCC